UAGUAUAUAUUUCUUUCUUUUUCCUCAUCCUAACACAUUACACUCUCAUCCCAACCCUUGGAGCCCUAAGCCAGGACAAUCACCCACAUCUUCAACCACCACCAGCACUAAUCGAUGAGAAAAUGUUACGAACAUGUUGAAGUGUCUGGGUUGCACGCAGACCACCAGGCUAUGCUUUUAUCGACUUUGAUGACCCAAAAGCCUAAUGAAGAAGACUUUGACAGGGAUGAUGCCAAUGACAAGCUUGCAAAGGAAAUUGGCUUACAAGAAGAAGAGAAAUCAUUACAAUAAAGCGAUGUUGGAAAUCAUGAAGAUGAUAUCAUUUAAAUCUUUAAGAGGUUGAACUAGACUUUUGUUGAUGAUGGUUUCUUUUUGUAGUUAUUGCACCAGUAUUUGUUCUUAUAUUGGAUUUAAAAAUUCUCAUUGAAAUAUUUUGAUCUAAUGAACAAAUUUAUAAUUUGUAUACAAGUAAU